CAAAUACUCCCUCCGUUCGGAAUUACUCGUCCAAGAAAUGAAUGCAUCUAGAUGUAUUUUAGUUGUAGAUAAAUCCAUUUUUGUGACAAGUAAUUCCGAACGGAGGGAGUACUAU
rnacentral:pre_miRNA from 1 species